AGGCAUAUAGCUAAGUGGUAGAGUACGUGCUUUGCGUGUAUGAGGUCCAGGGUUCAAUGCCCUGCACUUCCA
rnacentral:tRNA from 1 species